GUGAUUUCAUGUCAAGUGUACUUCUAAAGACAAUCCACGGCCCCUGGUGUGACAAGCAGUGGCUGAUGUUAUGCGAGAGCGCGAGCUUUUUGGCGGGCGACUGAAGAGCACAGCGAAUGCGAAAACUUCGGAAGCGAUGGCCCGGGCGGCUUGUUGGCACAGCGGGGAGGACGAACCAGAGACCCGAUAGGCAGCGAUGGCAGCUAUUCAUGGUCCUGACACAGAGGACAGGUUGCAGUGCACGAUUGAAGUGGUCUUCCUGCAAGCCCUAACGAGCCUUGUUAAGUGAAAGGGUUCCUAUCCUUGUCCUAUCAAGAUCUUCAGCAAGUGCCAACUCACCCCAGUGUGGAUUCUUGUGCUUGUUAAUGACCAGCUAUCAAUUUCAUAAGUUGCAAUACUGGCUAGUGAACAUGGGCAACUGUGCACUCUAAAGCAUGAAGGUUUUAAAUACAGCAGCGGUGCCACCACGACGGUGCUACAAGAGACCCUACCAUCAGUGCAAUGUCGAAAAUUAAAUACAAAUGC